CCUACGUGUGGCAGCAGUGGGGAAUAUUGGACAAUGGGCGAAAGCCUGAUCCAGCCAUGCCGCGUGUGUGAAGAAGGCCUUCGGGUUGUAAAGCACUUUCAGUGGGGAAGAAAGCCUUGGGGCUAAUACCCUCGAGGAAGGACAUCACCCACAGAAGAAGCACCGGCUAACUCCGUGCCAGCAGCCGCGGUAAUACGGAGGGUGCGAGCGUUAAUCGGAAUUACUGGGCGUAAAGCGCGCGUAGGCGGUCUGAUAAGCCGGUUGUGAAAGCCCCGGGCUCAACCUGGGAACGGCAUCCGGAACUGUCAGGCUAGAGUGCAGGAGAGGAAGGUAGAAUUCCCGGUGUAGCAGUGAAAUGCGUAGAGAUCGGGAGGAAUACCAGUGGCGAAGGCGGCCUUCUGGACUGACACUGACGCUGAGGUGCGAAAGCGUGGGUAGCAAACAGGAUUAGAUACCCCAGUAGUC
rnacentral:rRNA from 1 species